rnacentral:rRNA from 1 species
UACGUAGGAGGCAAGCGUUAUCCGGAUUUACUGGGCGUAAAGAGGAUGUAGGCGGCCUUUCAAGUCGGAUGUGAAAUCUCCCAGCUUAACUGGGAGAGGUCAUUCGAUACUGUUGGGCUAGAGGACAGCAGAGGGAAGCGGAACUCCCGGUGUAGUGGUGGAAUGCGUAGAUAUCGGGAGGAACACCAGUGGCGAAGGCGGCUUCCUGGGCUGCCCCUGACGCUGAGAUCCGACGGCGUGGGUAGCAAACAGGAUUAGAUACCCCCGUA